GCAGGGAGGUCAGGCGCAGACCGCGCGCAAUCAAUGGAUCAAUGCAAGCUCCGCUCGGCUCCAGACCAAACAGCACCGGGCUCCGACUCGUCCUCGCUCCCCUAGGAAAGAGUCGGGGAGCGAGGGUGCGUCCCCGCGCUCGCUCGCGAGGACGGCCGUGCGGCGCCAGGUUUGAACGCACACCUCCACCCGAGACAAAGAGGGUGCGAGGUGUUGGGGAGGCUGGGGCAGACGUGGACACACGGACACACGGGCACUCGGGCGUGUCCACCGACACAGCCUGACAGGGGACAUAGGACCUCGGAACACACCGCCUCCGACACCAGGCCGAGUAACAACCUCUCAACUUUUACACCUACCACACCCCCAACCUCAAGACUCAGUCCCCAUUCCUAGAUGCGAGUCCACUUUGAGGACCAAAAAGAAAGUAGCCUCCGCCUGCUAAAACUGCCAGCUCCAGGGCAGACUCCCUUGCAGUUAAGGCCUUGGAGGGAAAGAGGAAAGACCUCUUGAAAGGCUAUGAAGACUUUCUUGGAGUGUGAGGCUGUGUUCAGAAUGAGACCAGGCCAGGUCCAGUUUUCUACAGGGAAGAUGCUGCUAGGACCCAGACUAGCCUCACAGAGCCCUCAGCGUACCCAGGAGGAAGAGGCAAUGACCAAGAUCUCCUCAAAGAACGUAAGCUCCAUCAGAGCAGGGACCAUGUCUGGCUUGUUCACUAUCGUGUCCUCAUCAUCUCCUGUACUGCCUGCCACAUGAACAAUGGCCAUUAACAGGCAUGGAACUGGAGCAGAAAUGGAAUGAACCCUAGGGGCCUGGGAG
rnacentral:lncRNA from 1 species